rnacentral:rRNA from 1 species
AUAGGGGAGCCGGAGGGAAACCGAGUCUUAAUUGGGCGUUAAGUUGCAGGGUAUAGACCCGAAACCCGGUGAUCUAGCCAUGGGCAGGUUGAAGGUUGGGUAACACUAACUGGAGGACCGAACCGACUAAUGUUGAAAAAUUAGCGGAUGACCUGUGGCUGGGGGUGAAAGGCCAAUCAAACCGGGAGAUAGCUGGUUCUCCCCGAAAGCUAUUUAGGUAGCGCCUCGUGAAUUCAUCUCCGGGGGUAGAGCACUGUUUCGGCUAGGGGGCCAUCCCGGCUUACCAACCCGAUGCAAACUGCGAAUACCGGAGAAUGUUAUCACGGGAGACACACGGCGGGUGCUAACGUCCGUCGUGAAGAGGGAAACAACCCAGACCGCCAGCUAAGGUCCCAAAGUCAUGGUUAAGUGGGAAACGAUGUGGGAAGGCCCAGACAGCCAGGAUGUUGGCUUAGAAGCAGCCAUCAUUUAAAGAAAGCGUAAUAGCUCACUGGUCGAGUCGGCCUGCGCGGAAGAUGUAACGGGGCUAAACCAUGCACCGAAGCUGCGGCAGCGACGCUUAUGCGUUGUUGGGUAGGGGAGCGUUCUGUAAGCCUGUGAAGGUGUGUCGUGAGGCAUGCUGGAGGUAUCAGAAGUGCGAAUGCUGACAUAAGUAACGAUAAAGCGGGUGAAAAGCCCGCUCGCCGGAAGACCAAGGGUUCCUGUCCAACGUUAAUCGGGGCAGGGUGAGUCGACCCCUAAGGCGAGGCCGAAAGGCGUAGUCGAUGGGAAACGGGUUAAUAUUCCCGUACUUGGUGUUACUGCGAAGGGGGGACGGAGAAGGCUAUGUUGGCCGGGCGACGGUUGUCCCGGUUUAAGCGUGUAGGUGUGUGUUCCAGGUAAAUCCGGUUCACUUUAACACUGAGGCGUGAUGACGAGGCACUACGGUGCUGAAGUAACAAAUGCCCUGCUUCCAGGAAAAGCCUCUAAGCAUCAGGUAACAUCAAAUCGUACCCCAAACCGACACAGGUGGUCAGGUAGAGAAUACCAAGGCGCUUGAGAGAACUCGGGUGAAGGAACUAGGCAAAAUGGUGCCGUAACUUCGGGAGAAGGCACGCUGACACGUAGGUGAAGUGAUUUACUCACGGAGCUGAAGUCAGUCGAAGAUACCAGCUGGCUGCAACUGUUUAUUAAAAACACAGCACUGUGCAAACACGAAAGUGGACGUAUACGGUGUGACGCCUGCCCGGUGCCGGAAGGUUAAUUGAUGGGGUCAGCGCAAGCGAAGCUCCUGAUCGAAGCCCCGGUAAACGGCGGCCGUAACUAUAACGGUCCUAAGGUAGCGAAAUUCCUUGUCGGGUAAGUUCCGACCUGCACGAAUGGCGUAAUGAUGGCCAGGCUGUCUCCACCCGAGACUCAGUGAAAUUGAACUCGCUGUGAAGAUGCAGUGUACCCGCGGCAAGACGGAAAGACCCCGUGAACCUUUACUAUAGCUUGACACUGAACAUUGAGCCUUGAUGUGUAGGAUAGGUGGGAGGCUUUGAAGUGUGGACGCCAGUCUGCAUGGAGCCGACCUUGAAAUACCACCCUUUAAUGUUUGAUGUUCUAACGUGGACCCGUUA